UACGGAGGGUGCAAGCGUUACUCGGAAUUACUGGGCGUAAAGCGUGCGUAGGUGGUGAGUUAAGUCUGUCGUGAAAGCCCCGGGCUCAACCUGGGAAUGGCGAUGGAUACUGGCUCGCUAGAGUGCGGUAGAGGAGAGUGGAAUUCCCGGUGUAGCAGUGAAAUGCGUAGAGAUCGGGAGGAACAUCAGUUGCGAAGGCGGCUCUCUGGACCAGCACUGACACUGAGGCACGAAAGCGUGGGGAGCAAACAGG
rnacentral:rRNA from 1 species